UACGUAGGGUGCAAGCGUUAAUCGGAAUUACUGGGCGUAAAGCGUGCGCAGGCGGUUUGUAAGUUUGUCGUGAAAGCCCCGGGCUCAACCUGGGAAUUGCGAUGAAGACUGCAAGGCUUGAAUCUGGCAGAGGGGGUAGAAUUCCACGUGUAGCAGGUGAAAUGCGUAGAGAUGAUGGAGGAAUACCGAUGGCGAAGGCAGCCCCUGGGCCAAUACUGACGCCUCAUGCACGAAAGCGUGGGAGCAAACAGG
rnacentral:rRNA from 1 species